UACGUAGGGUGCGAGCGUUAAUCGGAAUUACUGGGCGUAAAGUGUGCGCAGGCGGCCGCGCAAGUCGAGUGUGAAAGCCCCGGGCUUAACUUGGGAAUUGCGCUCGAAACUACGUGGCUGGAGUGUGGCAGAGGAAGGUGGAAUUCCACGUGUAGCGGUGAAAUGCGUAGAGAUGUGGAGGAACACCAGUGGCGAAGGCGGCUCGCUGGGCCGGUCCUGACACUGAGACGCGAAGGCGUGGGGAGCGAACGGG
rnacentral:rRNA from 1 species